UGCCAGCAGCCGCGGUAAUACGAAUGGUGCAAGCGUUGUUCGGAAUCACUGGGCAUAAAGAGCACGUAGGCGGCGUGGCAAGUCAGGGGUGAAAUCCUUCGGCUCAACCGAAGAACUGCCUCUGAAACUGCUGUGCUUGAGUAUGGGAGGGGAAGACGGAAUUCCAGGUGGAGCGGUGAAAUGCGUAGAUAUCUGGAGGAACGCCGGUGGCGAAAGCGGUCUUCUGGCCCAUUACUGACGCUGAGGUGCGAAAGCUAGGGGAGCAAACAGGAUUAGAUA
rnacentral:rRNA from 1 species